AGUGAACGCUGGCGGUAGGCCUAACACAUGCAAGUCGAUCGGCAGCACAGUGAGAGCUUGCUCUUACGGGUGGCGAGUGGCGGACGGGUGAGGAAUACAUCGGAAUCUACUUUUUCGUGGGGGAUAACGUAGGGAAACUUACGCUAAUACCGCAUACGACCUACGGGUGAAAGCAGGGGAUCUUCGGACCUUGCGCGAUUGAAUGAGCCGAUGUCGGAUUAGCUAGUUGGCGGGGUAAAGGCCCACCAAGGCGACGAUCCGUAGCUGGUCUGAGAGGAUGAUCAGCCACACUGGAACUGAGACACGGUCCAGACUCCUACGGGAGGCAGCAGUGGGGAAUAUUGGACAAUGGGCGCAAGCCUGAUCCAGCCAUACCGCGUGGGUGAAGAAGGCCUUCGGGUUGUAAAGCCCUUUUGUUGGGAAAGAAAAGCAGCAGGUUAAUACCCCGCUGUUCUGACGGUACCCAAAGAAUAAGCACCGGCUAACUUCGUG
rnacentral:rRNA from 1 species